CCUGUGGAACCAGCUGGGGAUCCACUUGGAAUGCAAGCGUGGCCUGUAGUUACUGGCGGCGCUCCCACUCCCAGCGGACUGAGCACCCAGCUGACUGGCUUUGUCACGAGGUGCCCCUGCCUACAGUGCUGGCACCUCUGGAUCCCGUCGUCUCCCUUCUGCUUUCCCUCCAAGCUUCAGGGAGGCAGCAAGACUCACUCCAGUAAAACGCUCCACCCUGCCCCUCAUCCCCACCUCAUGUCUGAUACGGUGAAAGGACUCAAGAAAUGGUGGUUAUUAUUACUGGGUUUGACCCCCAACUUCCUCUGGCCAUGCCAAUGAAAUUCAAAGUCUGGAGACUAUAAAAGUGAAGAUACUGGAAGAGAUGACCUCUAAGUCCCUUCUGGCACAAACCACCAUCUGACUGUCAUUCCUGGAGACCCCUCCUUUGUGAUAGCAUCUUUUAAGACAUUUACUCACAUAAACUCUGUUUUGUUUCUUUGUUUGUUUUUUUUUAAAUUUUUUUUUAUUUGUCAGGGGAGGUAAGUAGGUUUAUUUAUUUAAUAAGGUACUCAGGAUUGAACCCAGGACUUCAUGCAUGCUAAGCACACACUCUAUCACUGAGCUAUACCCUCCCCCCUCACAUAAACUCUUAUUUGUUUUCCCAAUAGCCUCAGGAGGGGUGGUAAGGAUAAAGUUUAGUCACUCGAUAUCACCGAAAGGAACUGGAGGGACAUGAAAAGUGCUGGGGUUUCCCCAUCCAAGCUCCAACCAGCUGGCCUUGAGCCAUGAGGACCAAUCAGAAUAAUCACCACUAUUUAAUGGAUGAUCCACACAGCUUAGCUAGUGUCAGUGAUCCCUUUAGGUCAGCAUUAAACCCGUCUUUUACAGCUGGGGAAACUGAGGUUGAUGGGUAGAGUGACUCAAAGUCAUGUAGUCUGUAACUGUCAAGAGGGGAUUCCAACCAGGUCUGAGAACUCCAAGGCCAUUGCCGCUAGACCCUGGCGUCCUGACACUCCGCUGGGGGAGUGAGGCCUGGUGCUUCUUCUGGGUGGGGCUCAGGCCAGAUACCACAAUGAGAAAGUGAGGAAGGCCCACAUGGAGGCACCACACCUUUCCCAAAGUUAAAUUCAGCCUGCGCUCUGCCUCUGAGCCUUCAGAGGCUCGAAGGGCCAUGUCAGAGCAGCAGAACCACCUUCAGCUCUGUAAAGGAAUUUGUUACCACCUUUGAUGUAACAUAUUUAAUCAUGGAAACAGUCUCUGUGAAGCUGUUGUCUUCAUGUCCGAUGCUGGAGCUCUGUGUCUGCAGGGCAGACAUUCAAGGAGGGAAGAUGGAUGGAGAGUGGGGGAGGGCGAGGCAGGCUGGAACCUGAGAGCAUGGACUGAGACCCCUGCUAGUUCUUCUUACCUCUGACCUGGAGAGGGGAGGUUGCCUGUAGGGGAAUCUGACAUUCUUUGCGGAGAUGCUAAACCCACACCUGGCCCAGGAGUCUCCGAUACUGCAGGAGGAUCCUGGGAAGGCUGGGCAGUGGUGGCAGUGCCCCUCUCAUCAGAACCAGCCAGCAGAUAAGUGAUAAUUUGUAUGAGUUACAAAACUGCCUGCCCCGCCCUUCUGGGCAUUAAAAAAAGAUUUUUUUUUUAGUAUUACUUAUCUCUUGCUGUGUAACAAAUUACCCCAAAACCUAGCAGGUUAAAACAACCUAAGUGCAUUAUCUCAUCAUUUCUGUGGGUCAGGUAUCUGGCAGUGUUUUAUCUGGAUGGUUCUGUCUCAUGAGGUUACAGUCAAGCUGUCAGCCAGGCCUGUUGUCAACUGAAGGCUUGACUGGGGCUGGAGGACCUACUUUUAAUAUGGGUUACUCUCAUGGCUGUUGGCAGGAGGCCUCAGUUCCUUGCCUCAUGGACCUCUCCAUAGGGAUGCUUGAGUGUCCUGACAUGUCCGCUUACUUCCCCUAGAGCAACUGACCCAAGAGAAAGCAAAGCAGAAGCCACAGUUCCUUUUAUGAUCUAGUCUUGGUUGUCACAAACCAUCAUUUCUGCCAUCUAUUAUUUGUUACAUAGUUCAACCCUAUUCUAUAUGGGAGAGGACUGUGUAAGGGCAUGAAUACCAGGAAGUGUAGAUCACUGGGGCCACCUUGGAGGCUGGCUGCCAUGAGGACAUCAGGGUGUUGCUGGGAUCAAGAGGCCCCAGGGAGGUUGACCAGGGUGCCCUGCCUUCCUGACUGUCUGGAGAGCACUUUAAAUUCAUGGACAGCGUCCCACAUUCUGACUUCUCCCCACAGCCCCCAGCACCACACUGCCUCAGAAUCUCCACCUGGAAAUCCAGGAAGUGUCUCAAACUAACAUGCCCAACCCUGAGUCUCUGACUUUCCCUCUCAGCGUCUCCUCUCAUACUUUUAUCCAUCUCAUAAGGGACAACGCCAUCCUUCCAGUUUCUCAGCCCCAAACUUUGAUUGGCCGUGUCCAAUCCAUCAGCAAAUCCUGUUAGCUCUACUUUCAGAAUGUAUCUGGGGUCCCACUUCUCAGCACCACUGCUGCUGCAGCCUGGACUGAGCCCCGUUUUCUUUUGCCUGGGUCUGGAUGAUGGCCUCCUGACCCAUCCCCCUGCUCUCACCCUGUAGAGUCUGGCUCCGCAUGGCAGCAGAGUGAUCCCUUGAAAAGCAGGUGAGAUCAUGUCACUCCUGCUCAGACCCCUGCCAUGGCUCCCGCCAACUCAGAGGAAAAGCCAGUCUUCACAGUGGCCUGCCAGGCCCCUGGCUCCCCCACCUCCGUGCGGUCACCCGCCUUGUCUCUCCCUCUGCCCCGCACCCCCCUCCCCAGCUGCACUGGCCUCCUCCACCUUAGUGCCUCUGCCAUUCCCUCCUUCUGGAGCACUUCCCUCAGAAACAGCCUUCCUCACAUCCUCGGGUUUUAUCUCGAAAGUCACCUUCUCUGGGGGGGCCUUGCCCACCCCCUGUUAAACCCAACAGCCCUCACACCUCCUACACACCCUGCCUGUUCUCCUUGAGUUUGUCUCUUCCUCUGUACUUUGCCUUCGCCAUCUAUAAUCCCUAACUUCCUCUUGGUUUGUUCUUUGUUUCCCCCUCUGGAAUUUAAGCUCAACCAGGGCUGGGAUUAUUGUCUGUUUUGUUCACUGUGGUGUCCCCAGAGCCUGGAGCAGUGGCUGGCAGGUACUCAGAAAGUACUUGUUAAAUGAAUAGCAAACUGUCAAUAACAAUUUUGGGGGGAAGGGUAUAGCUCAGUGGUAGAACGUGUGCUUAGCAUGCCUGGGUUCAAUACCCAGUACUACCAUAAAAAAAAAAUCAGUAGAAAAAAGAAAGAAAGAAAAAUUUUGGAAAGACUAAAUGGAGGGUGAUAAUGGAUAUUGUACUAACUUGCCAGCUGUGUGGCGUUAGAUGAAUCAUCUCCCCUCUCUGAGCCUCAGACCAGACACAGGCUCACGAGUACAGUUGUCUUAGAGCAGGCUGAGGGCUGUUUGAAAUCCUAGCUGCAGUGGCUCUGCCGCUUGCCAUGGUGAGACCUUGGGCAAGUCAUUGACUCUCUCUGCCCCUCUGUUGGAUGAGAAUAAUUUAAAAAACAGCCUAAGAUAUUGUGAUAGAGAUGCCAUGAGCUUAGGGACUAGCCCCACACUUGGCACAUAGUAGGUCUUCCCAGAGAGGAAGCUGCCUCUUCCCACAAAUUCCAAAAGUCUUCCUGCCCUGGUCAUGGGACAACAGUGCAUCCAAGGUUCCUGGCCUCUGGGAUUUUCCAGAACCUGGGUCAAGAACUAUUAUGAUUGCUGGUAUUUUUCCACAGUAGAAAAAAAAAAUCCCUCUGAGUUCUACCCCUGAGAAUCAGGGUGAGCAGCAAAGAGGCUCGCGGGGUGGCGCUGUCCACUGAGAGACUCUGUCAGGAGACGCAGGAACUCAGAGGAUGCUUUGCCCCGUGUGACCGCGUCACCUACACACUAGACUACUGAACUCACUCUUGAUAUCUGGAGACACCUUGGAGAUAAGUUCAUCCAGAGGCUGCAAACUGACAGCCAUGCUCUGGAUGGGCCUCAGGGACCUGACUGUUCGGUUUGGCGCACACCACAUUUUGGAAACAACAGAAUCUGAAUGCUUGUGGACAGUUCAGGAAAGUCAAGGUCUUCCUACUGCCUCACACCCAGCCAGAUGCACAUAUUUACUUUGUUGCCCUGGACCCCUGAGCAGGCCAUCUGUUGCACAUCCCCGUUAAGACUUGGCAAGAAGCUGACUCCUUGGGAAAUCAUCUCAGCCUCUUGCUAUUGGGAUCAUUUUGGAUUCCCAUUCCAGCCAGCAGUUAAGGACACAGAAGCCUGGAUCAUCUAAAACCAUGGACUCGUCCCCAGGUUCCUUCCCUUGGGUUCUUGACCUGCUCCCCUAAUGUUUCAUACUCACCUCUUACUCAUGUCCACUUGGCUGUAGGAGGGGAGCCAGCCUGGCUCUUCUCUCUGCCGGGAGCAUCCUUCCUCCAUAGUCUGCUGAAGACCCCCAGUCCUGUAUCACCUCUUCUGAGAAGCCUUCCCUGCUGUUCCCCUGCCUGGCCCAGGACCCCCUCAGCCUGAUCUGGCCAUGCUGUUGCCCAGACAGAUGCCUAUCAGGACCCCUUUCCCUGUAGAUUGUACCAGUUUCCCUAUGGAUCUGCUCCCCCUGCUGGACUGUGAACUCCUUGAGGGCAAGGGCUGUAAAUUACUUGGCUUUGUGUACCUAGGGCUUGCCUGAUGUGGUUACUCAACAAAUGGACCCUGAAAUUGUGAUAAAAGAGUGAAGGAAUAAAUGAAGAAAGGCAGGAUGGAGAGAAGGAAAAAAGGAAGAGCUCCAUUAACUAAUUUGCUCUUCACCUUCCACACAUUUGCCUAGCAGGGUCCUGCUGCUGUCUGCACCCAACCCUGUCUGCCAGGAGUGUGUCAGCCCUCUCAUGAGAGGAACCCUGGCUGCCCUUGACCAUCUCAUCAUACCCAGUUUCUGCUUGUUCUAGUUUUUUGUUGUUUUUGUUGUAAAUGUCAUGAUAAUCCACCUGCCAAAAAAGGCAAAUGAUCAGUAUACAGUUGGGCGAAUUUUCAAAGUGAACACACCCAUGCCAGUAGCACCCAGAUCAAGAAAGAGAAUAUAAACAGCUGCCCUUGUGCCCUCUUCCAGUCACUACUGCCCCCAAGGGUAACCAUUAUACUGGCUCUUAUCACCUUUAAUUUUCCUGCUUUCUAUUUUAUAUAAAUAUAGCAAUAUAAUACACAUCCUUUUGAGUCUGGCUUCUUUUACUUAGUGCUGUUUAUGAGAUUUAUUCAUCUUGUGGUUGAUUCAUCCUCACUGGUAUGUACUAUUUUAUGGCACAGAUAUGCUGCAAUUCAUUUAUUCAUUCUGCCAUUGAUGGCCAUUUGGAUUGUUUCCAGCUUGGGGCUAUUCAGUGCUUUUGUGAGCACUCUUGUACACAUCUUGGGGAGCAUGUGUGCAUCUUCACGUUGGGUGUCUACCUGGGUGUUGAAGACCUGGGUCUCAGGCAAGGUGUAUGCUCUGUUGUAGUAGAGACUUGCCGUUUUCCAAAGUGGUAGAGCCCAUUUUCACUUCCUCCAGCAAGGCUGCAGAGUUUCAGUCACUCCACAUUGGCAUUACCUGUCUUUCUUCGUCCAGAUAUUCUGGUGGGUGGAUUAUUUCGUUUUGACCACCGGUUCCAUCUCACUGGCAGUCUGCUCCAGCCUACGAUGGAUUCUGGAGAGCCAGCUUCUCUGGUCCUCCACUCUUGCCCUGAAGUUUUGAUCUAUAGCUCAUGUUCACCCCUGCAGAUCUCUAACAGACCUUCAGCUGUGUUCCAGGACCCCCUUCCAAAGAGAAACUCUUCACCCUUUGGUGACAGCACCUUAUGGAGUGUGGACCACCAGGGACGAGGAUGGGAAGGAGGAGGAAAGGCAUAUAGAAGCUUUUCUUGCAAUCCUGCACAGGCCCUUCAUACAACUAUGGCUUACUUAGUCACUUGUGGACCCUUCUCAGGUGUUAGCAUACUCAAAACAUUGAGUAGGCAUAAAAAAUAAUUAAAUAUGGGUGUUGGAUAUAGCUCAGAGUUUGAGUGCAUGCUUAGCAUGCACAAGGUCCUGGGUUCAAUCCCCAGUACCUCCAUUUAAAAAAAAAAGGAAAAG